UAAAAACAUUUAAAAACAAAGUUUUGUGUACUUAGGAUCACAACAACCUGUGCCUACUUGCAGAGAGACUUACCUGUGACUGCAUAGUACAGCUUAUAGGAAAUCUUGCAUUGCUUGCUUGUUAUUAUUUUUUUCUAUUUUAUAUUUACUAUUGAUUUUUAUUUUUACUAGUGAGUAGUCAACAUAUCAGUGGAGUUAUGAAGCUCUAAAAAGGAGAUAUUUAUAAACGGUGACAAAGUAUUAAACCACUGGUUCGAUACUUCCCUCUAAUGGACAAGUACAGGGAGUUUUGUUCUAUAAUAUUCAUAAAAUGAAUUUAAGUAUCAAUAAAAGUGCAAAUCUUACUAUUUGUGAAAGUGUAUUUUACUGGAAAAAGGCUAAUUAAAUUGUUACCUAACUGUGUUAAGAAGCUAGUCUCAUUAUACCAAGUUUUGAUAGAUUUGCAAUAAAAUAGGGGAAAAAAAAAGAAGCGUUUGAACAACGUUGACUAGAGUUUCUUUCCAACUUAAAACAAUUUGUUUGCUCAUGCCGAUACGCUUUAGCUAAUUAAAAUAAAUGAAGAUAGGAUCUUCUUGGAGCGUCAAAAAGAACCAGGUCAGCCUGGUCACUUAAUUAGAGUGGACAAAAAACUUAAAGAAAAAGAAGAAAAGGCGCGCCUUAGAAACAUUGAGGAGAAAAAGCGACGUGCUAAAUGUUAUGAUUCAUUAGCUCCAUCGAUAUCAUAUGAACCACCACAAGAAAUCUUAUCUUCUGAUUUUGAUAUAAUAGAUUUUCAAGAAAAUAGACCCAGCCUAAGUGGUGAUUUCUUUCAGCCCGAUAAAAGUUGUAUUUGGAAAAGUUUUACAACUCCGAAGUUGGUUGCCGUGUUAGAUAAAUGUCAGUUAAGUGUGAGAAAUUCUGUAUUUAUAAUUGAAGCUAGUAUUGACGCACUAGAGCAUAAUACAUAUGACUUCUUCAAUCAAUAUAAUUAGUACUGAAAUGCAAAGAGAGCGGACUGAAGCUUUUAAUAUUAAUUAUCAAAACAAUAUCCUGGAUACUGUAACUGUCUACUGGGAUGGCAAACUAAUGUCGGCUCUAGAUUCACAUAAAUCUAAAAAAGAACACAUUCCAAUUGUUAUAUGGAAGCAAACAGGCACUAUCUGUUUGGAAUGCUAUUAUCAACUGGAAUCUUGGGGACAGAGUGCAGAUACUUUGAUACAAGAUACAAGACGAAAGUUCUUCACUUGAAGUAACUUCAAGUCUAGACAUUCUGUUGUUUAAAAAAAGGAAAGCUGUCUUGUUUAAAUGUUUCAGAAGUUGAUAAACUGCUAAAGUUCUAUCAAUUUGCUCUGUUGGAUGUCUGCCUGUUUAAUGUGUCAUACUAUGUCAAAUCCUAUUUUACAGAGGUUUUAUCAGCAUAUAUGGUAUUUGACAGAUGAAGUGUCUGUUUUGUCAACUUAGCUAAAGAAAACCCAUCAGCUUACAAUAAAUGUUACAUUGCAUGUCUUAUAUAGAAAAACAUCAAUGAUAUUGUCUCUAUCAAAAGCAAUUUCUUAUUUAAUCGACUCAAAAUUGAUGACAGUUUUCUGAAGAAGAGCCCUUUUUUAUGGUCAAAUAAUAAUUGUUACAAUAAGUUAAAAAGAACCUAUUGACACUGAGAGAAGUUAAUGAUACAACAGAAAGAGCGAUUAAAUUAAUGCCAGCCUUUCAUGGUUUAAUCACUGAACAGGAGUAAAAGCAAUAUUUAUUACAUUGCGUACAAGAACAUAGAUGUAUAUGCAGAUUGUAAAAAACGACUUUAACAGGGAACAUGUAUAUGCAGAUUGUAAAAAACAGACUUUAAAAAGGAAAUUUAAACAUUAUUUUAUCUUAUACUAUAAAUACAUUAUAAAUAUUAUGAA